UGAGCAUCAGGAGUCCAGUUGAUUGGCUUCGGCCUUUGAGUUGCUGCUGGCUAGCGGUGCUGCUUCUGAGCGUCUCCUCACCCCUCACUCAUGUGGCCCCUUCAACUGGUAAGAUCCCCCCCCCCCCCUCUCUCAAGACUUUGCUGAUUAAAUAUUUAAUAAAAAAUACAUACCAUACAUUGAGCUAGAUUUGGUUGCCUGAAAAAGGAAAAAUACGUCUCUUUGUGUAAUUGUGGUAAUCAAUUUUAAUCUUUCUUGCUUUUACCUUAGUCUUGCUCAAUAUGGUCUUAUACUUUGAAAGUUCUAAUCUGGUUAACAUUAAGCUUUUGAAGUUUUAGUUAUACCUGUGUUGAUAGUCAUUAGAAGACAACUAAACAACAAAAGGUUAGAGUUCAGUUUCAGUUAUGUAUCAAAUUAUUUAUUUCAUUGAGAUGUCUGAGAUUUAAAUUAGAAGAAAUUUUAUUAGCUUUGCCAUGUGGCUACAAAAUCCCCUCACCAUUGUUUGAUCUUGACAGUCUCUGAACCUGUUAUAUUCUGUAACUUUGGAGAACAUACUGGACAUUAACUGUUGCUUGAGAUAUAUUAAUCUGUUCUAUUUGAGAUAUAUGGGUCAUUGGAUAAGUAGGAUCCUCUAUACCGAAGUGAACAUGUUAGAAGUAUUUACUAGCUCUCCUCUGCUUUUUUCUGCAGGUGGCACUUUUGCUUGUGUCUUGUUAUCUUUUCGAAAUGGUGAAGCUGACAAUGAUAGCCUGUAUCACUGAUGGCCUUUCAUUUGCGGAGUGCUUAGAUGGUGGUUAUGUUAAGGAUGUUGUCUUCUACAAGCAGCAAGCAAAAUUAGUCACCUUGCCUCUCUUGCACUUAACAUUGUCUAAUUAGACUUUUCAAAAUGAUUAUCCAGGACUGCUUGGCCUCUCGUUUUGAUUAGCCUAUCAUUAAAGUUGGAAACACCAGAAUUGACGCUUGCGUAUGAGUAGGUACCAACUCUCUUCUUUACUCUUUCAUGGUGAAUCCAUUUUUAUUAUCCCCUGUUUGAUAGUUUUUUCUCCUCUUGACCCAAAUAAAGAGAUUUGAUGUGAUGAUUGAGGUAGAAGGCUAGCUGAACAUAUUGAUCAAAUGUCUGCUGAUGUACUUUAUUAUUCUUUGUUUCAUUGUUUUUUAUAUGGUGACCGUGAACUCUAUAGGUAGAGGAGCAGAGGACAUAAAGGUGCAUAGCUAUUUUGUCACUACUAAUAUAUAUGACUAAUUAAUGCCCACAAAGUUUUAAUGAGAUAAUAAUGAGAGAUUAUCAAAGAACAGAGCUCUCUGGUACUUCAUAUAUGUGAUCCUUUUAGCAGCCCACAAGAUGUCUCGGGACAUGCUCAUAAGAGGAUAGGAUGUGAUACGUGUUUGCUCAGACGGUCCAAUACUUGGAUGAACAGUUGGAAUAAAGGAUCUCUCUCUGUAUCCACCUUGGAAAAAAUAGAAUCAACCCUUCCUCUUAUUAAUCAUGUGCAGCCUCUUUAAUUUGCCUUCCUAGCCUGUGUCAUUUGGUUCUGAAUUUUUUUUCUGCUAUACAACUUAACAAUUUAAUUUCGUGUGUCAUGUGCAGAGAGGUCCAGGACGAUCUGAGACACAUGGGUUUCCUGUUCUCAACUUCUCAUGUUUGAUUUUAAUUCUUUUGCUUUUUGGUUAACCAGAGCUCAGAAUCAAGAUUAAGGUGUGCACUCAUAUAACCUAUGCGGUGUCAUGGUUUUUAAAUCCUGCUCCCCAUGGCUCACUAUUGCAUUUGGAAGUUGGAACUGUAUCUUAGAUUGAUUUGCUAUGAUGGGAUAUAAAUAGCAGCCUUACUAAUGUGUCACUUUACUUGGCUGCUUGCUGCUGAAACUUCUAUAUUUCUAUUUCAGAAAGUAGUUGAGCACAAAGCAAACAAGGUGAUGUUUGCCCAUAGAUGCCUGGUGAUGAUCAUUUCCUGGUGAGUUUGUGUUGCCCAUAGAGAACUUGAAAUAGUCAUGGCUGGACCUAUGAAUGAAACAAUAACAAUCAUGCAUUCGGUAUGCUCUUGGUAGAUAUUUUCUGAUUAUGCUUGUGCCUGUCAAUUUGUAUUAAUGUUUAUUUUGUAUUGCUCUACCUACAUUUUUUUUGUUAAAUGCCGCGUCUGUCGAUAUUGUUUCAUUUGCACACAACUAGCUAUCGUCGGGUACAACACUAAUGUCGCUAUUUAGAUCCUAAAAUGUGCCCUUCCUUUAUUAUUAACAUACCCUUCUGAAUUUUCUUGCAGUUGUAGGUUUGCUAAAAGUUCUUGAGUUGUCUUGCAUGAUUUUGCUUUUAUACAUAUAUAUAUUUCUUUGAACUGUGGCUUUUCUGAUGCACCUGUGCUAUUUUUUCCUCUAUUGAGAUGCUGAAUGUUUUUUCCUUUACUAUACAUCUGUAUCUACUUAUUGGCUAGAUGUUUUCUUACCCAUUUUGUUUUCUUCUUUGAGAAGGCUAUACGUGCUCUUGGAAUUAUGCAAGAUAUGAAAAAGUGUUAUAUUAUUUCAUCUCCUUGCUGCCUCUCGACAUUUCCAUUAUGAGAUAUAUUGAGUAAUACAUAUAUAUUAUCUAUUGCCGGGGUUAGUUAAAACGGGGCCAUGUGGGGUCCGCCAUGGGUUAAUAAUGUUGAGGUCUUUUGCAUAUCUCAUUUGAGCAAAGACCAUUAUUUGAAUGCUGAUUUAAUGUGCCUUUUUGCUUUGUUCUUCUAGAAGAGUACAAUGCUGGGUGGAUAUUCUUCUACCUUAGCAGAUGAGAUCGAUGGUAUUUCAAGGUAUGUACUUUUGCUUUCCCCAUAAGUUUAUAACAAUAUCUAUCUUUGUCGUGUCUGCUUAUUUCACUGUUUUUCUCUUAAAGUGGACAAGAUGAGACACUGACGGGAAAAGAAGCUUUGCCCUCCGAACAGGAAGCCUAGGCUCUAGACUGGGUAUCUCUUAAAGUAAUCAUACUUUUGAUGUGUUUUGUGUGAUCCUCAUAUUCGUUAGUUAGUUAACCCAUAUGCUCAACAUUCCUCUUACGUGCAUUUGAGGAUUGGCUAUGCAUGACCUUAUCAUUUUGGUCAUGACCGUGCAAAGAAAUGAUGGCUCGGCUGUAGGGGCAUAUCAACAGAUGCUAGCUUGAGUUGGUCCUUUGUUCUCAAUGGAUUUGUUAUUAUUAUGCCCUGUCACCCAACAUACAUUGUUUUGGAUUUGCACCUCCUAUUUUAUUCUGUUGUACUGUCCAAGGGCAAGCAAAUAUUGUGGUUAGCAUAUAAGACUAAGUUGUAUUGAAUCUUUAAUAGUUGUCAUAACGUGAGCUGCCAUAAAACACAUGAUCUUUGAUUGUGGUGCAGAUUUUUCAAAGACUGGAAGAAGUAUCCCGAGGAGGAAGACAGGAUCCUGGGUGGAAAAUUGGUGAAAGUGUGUACGAUUAUGGGAAAUGGAUGCCACCUGCUACCAGCUGCGCCCUGAGGUGUGUUUCUUUGCAGGUAUCUGAUUAGGUCAAAAUCGAUAGGAACUUUGUGUACGCUGAGUACUCUCUUUUGGCUGGCAUAGUGAAUGAGAACAGAUCAAAAUUAGCGGACCAAGCUAUAUGUGCUAUCCUUUUACUGGUGUACGGAGAACAUAUCCAGCAUGUAUUUGGGUGUAUGAACUGUUGUAUCGAUGAUGUCGAGUCGCUGUGCGUACAUGUCAUAGCUUCAUAUGCAUAUAUAAAUUGUUGUAUCCGCUUUGUACCUUUGUAUCAUGUGUAACAUAUAUUCUGAUUUACUUGGCUGAAUAUGAUUCAAUCAAGUUCAGAUUUUGGGAAGUAUAUGUUCUUCUUUGCUUC
rnacentral:lncRNA from 1 species